GAGUCCCACAUCAGGCAUUGCUAUACUUUCUGCUUUGACCUUCAAACAGAAUUUAGAAAACUCAAGAAGAAAAGGAAAGUCUAUUGUAUUUAACAACAGUUUUGUUCUUUCUGCUUUUUCUUCUUCCCUGAUGUUCCAAGAUUCCUUCUUUCAUCAUCCUUUCUGUUCAGGGAACUUGUGUUAACCAUUCUUUUAAGCACUUGAAGAAUGCUGUGCCACUUCUCUCCUACACAUUUUCUGAUGAGAAAUCCGCUGUCCUUUUGUUUAUCCCCUAUAGGGUCCAGGACUCCAGGGUUUCCCAGAGAACAAGACACACGG